rnacentral:rRNA from 1 species
GACGAACGCUGGCGGCGUGCUUAACACAUGCAAGUCGUACGGUAAGGCCCUUUCGGGGGUACACGAGUGGCGCACGGGUGAGUAACACGUGAGUAACCUGCCCACAACUUUGGGAUAACGCUAGGAAACUGGUGCUAAUACUGGAUAUGUGCUCCUGCUGCAUGGUGGGGGUUGGAAAGCUCCGGCGGUUGUGGAUGGACUCGCGGCCUAUCAGCUUGUUGGUGGGGUAGUGGCCUACCAAGGCGGCGACGGGUAGCCGGCCUGAGAGGGUGACCGGCCACAUUGGGACUGAGAUACGGCCCAGACUCCUACGGGAGGCAGCAGGGGGGAAUAUUGCACAAUGGGCGCAAGCCGGAUGCAGCAACGCCGCGUGCGGGAUGACGGCCUUCGGGUUGUAAACCGCUUUCAGCAGGGACGAAGCUUUUUGUGACGGUACCUGCAGAAGAAGCACCGGCUAACUACGUG